rnacentral:snoRNA from 1 species
GCUUGAUGAUGAUGCCUUUUCAGACUGAGCAAAUUGUAGUUGGUCCUUCAUUUGCAUGGUUGAUGUGGCCACGUUUCAAGACGGGGCUGAAAGCAGC